AGAUUGAACGCUGGCGGCAUGCCUUACACAUGCAAGUCGAACGCGAAAGCGGGGCAACCCGCAAGUAGAGUGGCGAACGGGUGAGUAAUACAUCGGAACAUAUCCAGUAGCGGGGGAUAACCUGUCGAAAGAUAGGCUAAUACCGCAUACGAUCUACGGAUGAAAGCGGGGACCGCAAGGCCUCGCACUAUUGGAGUGCCGAUGUCGGAUUAGCUAGUUGGUAGGGUAAAAGCCUACCAAGGCAACGAUCCGUAGCUGGUCUGAGAGGACGAUCAGCCACACUGGAACUGAGACACGGUCCAGACUCCUACGGGAGCAGCGAGUAGGGAAUUUUGGACAAGUGGGACGUCAAAGGCCCUUGGACUCCAGCCAAUCGGCCGCGUGAGGUAGAAGGAACGGUCCGUUACGGGUUA
rnacentral:rRNA from 1 species